rnacentral:lncRNA from 1 species
GGGGAUCUCACCAGAAAAAUCAUUUUUUGACAGAUCAAUGAGUGUUGCAGCCUUUAAAUUUCCAAUCUCUAAAGGUAUUUGCCCACUGAAUAAAUUGGACGAAACAUUGAAUUCUAUGAGAUCUUGAAGGCUCCCUAAGCUUGCAGGUAAUCUUGAAUACAACCUGUUGUUAGCUAGAUAAAGUUUCCUCAAACUGGUAACACUUCCUAAGCAUGGUGGCACUGAACCAGAAAAAUGAUUUCCUGAUAAGUCUAAUGCACCAAGACUCUUUAAAUUGCAGAUAAUAUCUGGUAUCAGUCCUUCUAUCUUGUUGCUUUGCAGGUAAAGUUCUUGAAGGUUCAACAUUCUUUGGAUAGUUUUUGGAAUAUGUCCAGCCAACUCAUUGUUUUGCAGACUCAUCAUUGUCAUUCCAGUAAGAUUACCAAUUUCUUCAGGAAUGACGCCCUUCAGUUUACAACCCUGUCCUUCAAAAAUUUGCAUAGCAGAAAAAUUUCCAACUGAUGCAGGAAAAACACCGUCCAACGGAUUCCGAUCAAAUUUGAGUAUUCUUAGUUUCCUACAGUUUGUGAGUGAUGUAAGGAAGCUCAAUGCUGAAUCACUGAAAAAAUUAUUACUCCCCAAGUGUAAAAUCUCAAGAUAUUCUAAGUUACCAAGUGAUUCAGGAAUUGGAUCUGUGAAACUAUUCCAUGAGAGAUCAAGUCCUGUGAGUCUUGAAGAAUUUGAGAUUGAAGACGAGAUAAAACCGCUCAAAUGAUUAUUUCUACAAGAAAAUUUUUCCAGGUUGGGCAGUCGACAGCCUAAAUCUGAAGGUAGAGUACCUGAAAACCUGUUUCCUCCAAGUCCUAUGAUCUGCAGUUCUGACAUGUUGAAAAUGCUAUCAGGUACGGGACCAGUAAACACAUUAUUGUAUAAUGACAGCGCCUGGAGUUUCCUAAGAUUACCUAGC